rnacentral:lncRNA from 1 species
CUCUUUGGACGUUGAAAUAGCUCUACAAAAUAACAUUUUGUUUCUUUAAAGUAUAAACUAACCAGAAACACAUGAUUUUAGUUUCCCAUAAAUCACAGAGGGUUUUGCCUAAGAGAAAAAUGCACAAGAAAACACAUCAUGGAUAAACAGUUUAAGGCAGUAAUCUGGUUGCACAAAUAGGUCAAUGGUUGGGGAAGGUGACGUGCAAAUUUGCCUUCAGGUGGAGCAUGUAGCGGCAUACUAGCGUCAGCCCACAGCUGGUGAGAGAUGGGACGCCAGCAAUGUCAUUGUGUUAAGGGGAAGCUGGUCCGGUUGUCCUUCUGGCGCCCUGGUGGUGAGCCUGGUGAGUGCGUCGUCAGAAUCUGGCAGGAAUGGCAGUGCAAUCUGUGCUCAGUGAUGGAAAUUUCUCCAGUGCAGUUUCUAAGAGUCGCGGUGAAUUCAUCCAUUUGCUGCAUUUGAAUGACUUUUGCUGCUGCUGAAGAUACAAAAUUCUGUGCUGUACAUUACUCGUGAAGUGUGAAGUGUGAGGUGUGAAGUGUGAGGCUCGAGCGAGCAAUGGCAGCCCCAUUGGAGUAAACCUUCAGUGUCCCAAGGGAGCGGCUCCGAGGGCGAGGGCUCCCUCAGCGUGGAAGCUCUGGCACGUGUCUGAAGAUGAGUCACCGCAGCUCGUCCCCACACUGCUCCGUGGAAUAGCCAGCAUGCUGCAGGUGUUCAGUGUUCUCCACAGCGGGCUGAAGAGGCCGGAGUUGUCAGGCAAGAGACUGACUUGUCUGCUUGUACUUGAAAUGGAUUCGAAGAAACACAUGCAUUUGUCGAGGGGAAAACGCUUUCAAGGAGAGACCAUUUGAUGCUAAAAGGACCAUUUGAUGCUCUUUUAACCCUCUUGGUUUUAUUCAACUCCUUUCAUUACUUUCUGUUCCUGGCACCUUACCGAAGGAAGAAUAUGCCAAGAGUUUGAAUGAUGAAAGAGUAUUCUAUAUUUUUAGCUAUAUUUGCAUUUUACAAGUUUAUUUGAAAGAUAGUUUUGUGCAGUUAAUCUUUUUUUCUGUUUAAAUUAUUUUGAAAAUCUUAAAAAUAUCAUUUUUAGCCUUUUAAAUAAAUAUCAAAAUGCCCAUUACA